AUGGCGGCGAGAGUGGCGGUUCUGGUGGUGGCCGCACUGGCUGUCGUCUUGUCCAGCGGCGGCAAUGUCGGCGCGGCUGGCGGUGAUGGCGAGCGGGGGGCGCUGCUGGCGCUCAAGGCGGGCUUCGUGGACCCAUUGGGUGUGCUUGCUGACUGGAAGGCUGCCGGCUCGCCGCAUUGCAAGUGGACCGGCGUCCGGUGCAACGCCGCCGGCCUCGUCGACGGGCUCGACCUCGCCGGGAGGAACCUGAGCGGCAAGGUCUCGGCCGACCUGCUCCGGCUGCCGGCGCUGGCGGUGCUCAACCUCUCCUCCAACGCCUUCGCCGCCGCGCUGCCUAGGUCGCUCGCGCCGCUGUCGAGCCUCCAGGUGUUCGACGUCAGCCAGAACUCCUUCGAGGGCGCCUUCCCCGCGGGCCUCGGCUCGUGCGCGGGCCUCGUCGCCGUCAACGGCUCCGGCAACAACUUCGUCGGCGCCCUCCCGGCGGACCUCGCCAACGCCACGGCGCUGGAGAGCAUCGACAUGCGCGGCGACUUCUUCAGCGGCGGCAUCCCCGCGGCGUACCGGAGCCUCACCAAGCUCAGGUUCCUCGGCCUCUCCGGCAACAACAUCGGCGGCAAGAUCCCGCCGGAGCUCGGCGAGCUCGAGUCCCUCGAGAGCCUCAUCAUCGGGUACAAUGAGCUGGAGGGGCCCAUCCCGCCGGAGCUCGGCAACCUGGCAAACCUCCAGGACCUCGACCUCGCCAUCGGCAACCUCGACGGCCCGAUCCCGCCGGAGAUCGGGAGGCUCCCGGCGCUCACCUCGCUUUUCCUUUACAAGAACAGUCUCGAGGGCAGGAUACCGCCGGAGCUCGGCAACGCCUCGUCGCUCGUCUUCCUCGACCUCUCCGACAACCUGCUCACCGGCCCGAUCCCCGCCGAGGUGGCGCGGCUGAGCAACCUACAGCUGCUUAACCUCAUGUGCAACCACCUCGACAGCGCCGUGCCCGCGGCCAUCGGCGACAUGAAGAAGCUCGAGGUGCUCGAGCUGUGGAACAACUCCUUGACGGGCACCCUCCCGGCGUCGCUCGGCCGGAGCUCGCCGCUGCAGUGGGUGGACGUCUCGUCGAACGCCUUGACCGGUGAGAUACCCGCCGGGAUCUGCGACGGCAAGGCGCUGGCCAAGCUGAUCAUGUUCAGCAACGGCUUUUCCGGCGAGAUCCCCGCCGGCCUCGCGUCGUGCGCGUCGCUGGUGCGCCUGCGCGCGCAGGGCAACCGUCUCAACGGAACGAUUCCUGCCGGAUUCGGGAAGCUGCCGCUGCUUCAGCGGCUGGAGCUCGCGGGCAACGAGCUCUCCGGCGAGAUCCCCGGCGCCCUGGCGUCCUCGGCGUCGCUGUCGUUCAUCGACGUGUCGCGCAACCGCCUCCAGGGAUCGCUUCCGUCGAGCCUCUUCGCCAUCCCGGGCUUGCAGAGCUUCAUGGCGGCGGGCAACAUGAUCUCCGGCGAGCUCCCCGACCAGUUCCAGGACUGCCUCGCGCUGGGCGCCCUGGACUUGUCGGGAAACCGGCUCCUCGGCAAGAUCCCAUCGAGCCUCGCCUCCUGCGCAAGGCUUGUCAACCUGAACCUCCGGCACAACGGGCUCACCGGCGAGAUACCGCCGGCGCUGGCCAAGAUGCCGGCGCUCGCUAUUCUUGACCUGUCGAGCAACUUCUUGACCGGCGGCAUACCGGAUAACUUCGGGGGCUCCCCGGCGCUCGAGACGCUCAACCUGGCGUACAACAACCUCACUGGUCCCGUGCCGGGGAACGGCGUCCUCCGCACGAUCAACCCCGACGAGCUGGCUGGCAACGCCGGGCUGUGCGGUGGCGUGCUCCCGCCGUGCUCCGGGAGCCACGUCGCCGGUCUGUCCCGCGCGCGCGGGGGCAACGGCGCGCGCCUCAAGCACGUCGCGGUGGGAUGGCUCGUGGGGAUGGUCGUCGUGAUCGCCGCGUUCACGGCCCUGUUCGGCGGCUGGCACGCGUACCGCCGGUGGUACGUCAUUGGCGGCGCCGGGGAGUACGAGUCCGGGGCGUGGCCGUGGCGGCUGACGGCGUUCCAGCGGCUCGGGUUCACGUGCGCCGACGUGCUCGCGUGCGUCAAGGAGGCGAACGUGGUGGGCAUGGGCGCCACCGGGGUCGUGUACAAGGCCGAGCUCCCGCGCGCCCGCACCGUGAUCGCCGUCAAGAAGCUCUGGCGCCCAGCGGCGACGGACGGCGACGCGGUGCGCAACCUCACCGACGACGUGCUCAAGGAAGUGGGCCUCCUCGGCCGGCUCCGGCACCGGAACAUCGUCCGGCUGCUCGGGUACAUGCACAACGACGCGGACGCCAUGAUGCUGUACGAGUUCAUGCCCAACGGCAGCCUGUGGGAGGCGCUGCACGGCGGGGCGCCGGAGUCGAGGACCAUGCUGACGGACUGGGUGUCCCGGUACGACGUGGCCGCCGGCGUGGCGCAGGGGCUCGCGUACCUCCACCACGACUGCCACCCUCCCGUCCUCCACCGCGACAUCAAGUCCAACAACAUCCUGCUCGACGCCGACAUGCAGGCCCGCGUCGCCGACUUCGGGCUCGCCCGCGCGCUCGGCCGCUCCGGCGAGUCCGUCUCCGUCGUCGCCGGCUCCUACGGCUACAUCGCGCCCGAGUACGGGUACACGCUCAAGGUGGACCAGAAGAGCGACAUCUACAGCUACGGGGUGGUGCUCAUGGAGCUCAUCACGGGGCGGAGGCCCGUCGAGACGGCGGCGUUCGGGGAGGGCCAGGACGUCGUCGGCUGGGUCAGGGAGAAGAUCCGGAGCAACACCGUGGAGGAGCACCUCGACCCGCUCGUCGGCGGCGGCUGCGCGCACGUCCGGGAGGAGAUGCUGCUCGUGCUCCGCAUCGCCGUGCUCUGCACCGCCAAGCUGCCCAGGGACAGGCCGUCCAUGCGCGACGUGCUCACCAUGCUCGGGGAGGCCAAGCCGCGGCGCAAGAGCGGGAGCUCCGCUGCCGCCGGCAAUGUCGCCGCCGUCGCCGUGGCCGCGCCCGUCGUUGACAAGGACAAGCCGGUUUUCAGCACCACGCCGGACUCCGUCUGA
rnacentral:rRNA from 1 species